GGUUUCGUGGUGUAGUUGGUUAUCACGUCAGUCUAACACACUGAAGGUCUCCGGGUUCAAGUCCGGGCGAAAUCA
rnacentral:tRNA from 2 species